UUGGUUUUAACAAAAUUUAAGUUUGAAAGGCACAAAGGCCUAAAAUGGUUUGAAUGAGUUAGUUACUUUUGGAUUUUUUGAAAGUUUAAGUCAAGUAUCGUUAAGUUUAUUCACAAGUUUGAUUUAAGAAAAUAAGUUUGAAAAUGCAAUGGCUUAAGGCCAAAGUUUCUAUCUUUUUUGCAAAAGUGGUUUAAGUUUAGAACAAAAGUAGUUCACACAAAGAAGGUUUUGAAAAUGGAGGGAGAGAUUUUGAAAUUAAAGAAAUGGGGAGAAGAUUGAG
rnacentral:lncRNA from 1 species